UCGGGUCUGAGUGGGAUGCUAAUAAGGCUGUAUCAUCAGCAAAUGUCGCUGUAGUUAUCUCUGUUAAAGUUGGUAAAUCGGCAGUGUAGAUGGUGAACAGCAGAGGUCCGAAGAGCACUGCCUUGGGAUAUGCCAGUUUCUAUUGGAAAUGUUGCGGUUAUAGCGUCCAAGUAUUUAAUCAUGAACAGAUAGGCGUCUCUGAGAUACAGGCGAUAACCCCUCCAGAGGAACUAAAACCUCAGUAUAAAAACCCUCCAAAAUAAGCGCUCGCCCCAGUCUGUUGAAACAUUUUGAAGCAAUCUCUUAAUACAUUUUAAAUCAUUCUG